UUCCCUACGGGAGGCAGCAGUGAGGAAUAUUGGUCAAUGGUCGGGAGACUGAACGCGCCAAGCCGCGUGAGGGAUGAAGGUACAGAGUAUCGUAAACCUCUUUUGUCAGGGAACAAAGGCGGGGACGUGUCCCCGGAUGAGUGUACCUGAAGAAAAAGCAUCGGCUAACUCCGUGCCAGCAGCCGCGGUAAUACGGAGGAUGCGAGCGUUAUCCGGAUUUAUUGGGUUUAAAGGGGGCGCAGGCGGUCUGUUAGGGCAGCGGUCAAAGCCGGGGGCUCACCCCCGGCCCGCCGUUGAAACUGGCG
rnacentral:rRNA from 1 species